rnacentral:rRNA from 1 species
AUGACUACCCGCUUCUCAGAUCUUAUUAAAAAACAUUCCCUAGAUUUUAUAGGCCUUCAAGAAACUAUGAAAAAGAAAUUUCCUUCUAAGUUCCUUAGGAAAAUUGAUCCCUUCGAUAGAUUUGAAUGGAACUGGGUUCCUUCUGUUGGAAAAUCAGGUGGUACCCUGUGUGGAGUGAAAAAAGAGACCCUUGAAAUCAUCUCCUGGGUAGCUGGUAAUUUGCUUCUACAAGUUAACGUUUAUGAUGUAAAACAUAAGUGUGUUUGGGCUCUCAUGGUGGUCUAUGGAGCAGCCCAAAAUGAGAGAAAAGACGAGUUUCUGUCAGAACUAGUUUCUGUUUGCUCCCAACUUCAUGUCCCCUAUAUAGUGGACGGAGAUUUUAAUAUUCUCCGUGAUAGUGGAGAGAAAAACAAAAAUAUGGCUCACUCCCAUUACAUAUAUAAAUUCAAUUCUGUUAUCCAGACUUUGAAAUUGGGAGAGAUCCAUAUGGGAGGGGGGAAACACACCUGGACUAAUAAGCAGAAACAUCCCACCCUGGAAAAAUUGCAUAGAAUCCUUAUGCGUUUUGAUUGGGAAGACAUGUUUCCUUUGGUCGUAGUCCGCAAACUGGUGAGGGACGUCUCAGGCCAUAAUCUGUUGCUCUUAACCUCGGGUCCUGAGAAAACGAGGCCCUUCCCACCAACGUGA